rnacentral:misc_RNA from 1 species
GAGAUGCGAUAAGUAAUGUGAAUUGCAGAAUUCAGUGAAUCAUCGAAUCUUUGAACGCACCUUGCGCUCCUUGGUAUUCCUUGGAGCAUGCCUGUUUGAGUAUCAUGAAAUCUUCAAAGUAAAUCUUUUGUUAACUCAAUUGGUUUCUACUUUGGUAUUGGAGGUCUUUGCAGCUUCACACCUGCUCCUCUUUGUUCAUUAGCUGGAUCUCAGUGUUAUGCUUGGUUCCACUCGGCGUGAUAAGUUAUCUAUCGCUGAGGACACUGUAAAAGGUGGCCAAGGUAAAUGCAGAUGAACCGCUUCUAAUAGUCCAUUGACUUGGACAAUACUUUUAUGAUCUGAUCUCAAAUGAGGUAGGACUACCCGCUGAACUUAAGC